rnacentral:lncRNA from 1 species
UUGCAAACCAGGCUAGCUAACGCUUGUGGAAUCGAGUCCGAUCGAUCCGGUAAUCAGUUCAGCAUGGUCUGAGUGGGGAGCAGGAUCUUGGAGUCGAAGGUGGCGGUGGAGUUGAGCAUCCAGGUGUAGAACGGGUGGAAGACGACGGACGCCGGGCAGCUCAGCGUCGCCGGCAGUUUGGGGCACUUGAUGAAGGUCUUGGCGUCCGUGUCCACGCAGAGGUAGACCUGGUACAGCUGCUUCUUGCCGAACGGCCCGUCCCGGCACUGCAGGCCCGGCUCGACGCCCAGCUUCGCGGCCACCGCCGCCUUGAUCCUCGCCGUGUUGUACAGCUUGUAGUCCGGCAGGAUGCCCUGGUCGGCGAGGGCGCCGAGGAUGUCGGCCUGCUUCCUGAGGCUGAGCGCCGCCUUGAAGUAGUCCAGCUGCUUGAGGCCUGAGCAGACGCCGUAGUUGUCCCAGGCGCUCUUCCACGCGUUCACGCCGUCGGUUGGCGGGCACUUGAGCCUGAUCCAGUAGUGGUUGAUGUUGUUCUCGAUCUUGUCCAGCUGAUCGUACGUGUUCCAUCAAUCGACGAUGCAUGGUGGUUGAUUAAUUAAGCAGGUUUAUUAAGUUUAACAUAUACUAGACAGAGAGUGAGUGUGUGUGAGAGAGGUGAGUUAAUUAAUUAACCUUUUUAGCAUCGAAGGGGCUGCCGUUCCUGCAACGGACUAUGGGCUUGUUAAUGGACACGUCGAAGGUUUGGAAGAACUCGACGAAGAAAUCCUCCGCCGGGUAGCCGUACUUGGGCACGCAGCAACCAUUGUCGCUGUCCUCGCAGUAUGCUCCAGGCCACUGUGCAUACACAGCAAUCCAUCCAUCGAUAGAUUUAGCUAGGCAGCUUGCAACUAAUGAUUUCACUGGCCUACGUAGGAUUUAGCUAGGAAGCUCUCCAUGAAGAUGACAUAUGAAGUCAACAAAUACCAGUUCUGUAAUGUAAAUUGAUUUAUCUAAUAACCACUUUGCGCUCGAGUGUGCACCCAAAUAUUACCGUUUGUACAAAAUGCCGUGUAAAACUAAAACUAUAUAAUAGGCUGUUUUGGGGCUAAUAUAUGAAAUCAGGUGGGGAACACCUCCUCCCGUUGACUUUCAAAAAAAAACAAUAGCAAAACGGAAAAACAACCCGAAUCGAGUCGAUUUUAACCUAUAUAAAUAGGGGUGUUGUAGUUGAAAAGAUAACUUUUGGCAAGAUAAUAAAAUGAAGAUUUUCUUUAAUUACCUACCCAUUAUUCACACAUUUGCCUUGUCUUUAUUUGGGUUUUCUAAUUUGAAUAAUCCGUUUGACGAUUGUCUUGAGGGAAAAAAAAUCAAUGGUAAUCUUUUCUGCAGGUUCUUUUGAUAUCUGUGAACGUACUCUCUUCGUCUCAAAAAUAAUCCAAUUUUAACAUUCAAAUAAGCUCAAAAAAACAUUGAGAUGUUGUAAAAAAAAUGUAAACUUUAGCUUACAAUUAAUUUAUUGGGUCAUCAACUCUUCGUAUGCUGUCAUAAAAAAGAGUGGUAUACAGUUGCAUGAUGACAACGAAGUUUAUGGAUACAAUAAUUUGUCUUGGUCAAUCCAACACACAGGGAGAGUAAAAAGAUUAGAGGCAACACACCAUUUUUAUAUUAAUCAAAAUAGCUAGUCUGCAACUUAUUACUUUUGUUGUACAUUACACGGUUCUACAGUAGAACAAACAAAUCCAAAAAUGACAAUUUAGCUUCAUAUAAAUGCACUUUGAAAUGUAGCAUCAGGCACGCGAGUGUGCUUAGACCUUGUAAUGGAAGAGAAAUAUUACAUAGACAAAAAAUAAUAAUUGUAAUUUUGUGAUUGCAGAUAAUGAUUCAGUCAAGAAAAGUAAACUGUCUACGAUCAUCAGAUUUAGCAAUAUAUGUUAGUAGACUGUUAAUCUUGUGCACGAGAUUAAGCAUUUGAAAAGGUUCAUACCAUGAGGAUAAGGUAAAAGAAAUCAAAGGGCACCGCAUUGGCAGCUGCCAGUAAGCCAAGGAUUAGGCUCAACACGAUCGUUCUGCGGCCUCCCAUCUCUGCUAUUUUGGCAACGGUUAAAGGCUGUUUGCUGCUGGCUGCCUGUUCAAGCGAUCCUGUAGGUGGUAUUUAUAGUGAGGAGGUCGAUUAUCAUGGGCGGAGCAGAUGAGCAACAUCCUCCAUACAAGUCGACCUCAAAUGAGUAACGGCCCGCCAAUAAUUUUUCUCUGUUUAAUCAUAUAUACUUUUGCUUGAAUAUUUGGUUAAUUUGUUCAAUAAGAUCGCAAAAACUGUUUGUCCUAACCUCUAGCAUAGUCCUAGGAUGAUAGAGGUUGUAAAGAAUCAUGUGUCCAUAUUUACGAUCAUAUAUGGUUUUGUAGUGAUUUAGAUGACAACACGAGCACUACAACUAGGUUAUGUGUUAGACAUGCUGUAAUAGGUUCUAGGGAUGCAAUAGAAGAAGUGGUGUAAAGACUGACAAAAAAAUAUAGUUAAAAUCACGAAGUGUGUAAAGUUUGCAAGUGUUGGAAGGUCCAACGACAAGGAAUUAAUAUCUAGCGGAUAAUUAAAUGCCAUCUAAUCCAGUGGUGUUCUACACUAUGCAAUUGAGAGCACCAUAUGACCCAACAAAAUUACGACAGCAAGGACAAACUACGGCCUAAUAGUGAAUAGUGCUAUAGACCUUAGGGUAAUAUUCUCUACACAAAGCACAAGACAAUGAAUAGUACACAUAGUUAGGUCUUUGCUAACCCAAUUCACCACUUCCCUUGGUUGCCACUCAAGUCCAUUAUUGGUAUGAAUACCCUCUCAUCAUUUUUAUAGAAGGUAUCAAAAGUAUAACUGUCAAACUUGGAGGGUUGCGUGGCUGGGUUCUAUUAUAAAAAAACCUAGAGGGUUGGGUAUAACACCCCCUUUCGUUAGCCUUGCUAUUGUUCUAAACUUAAAACUACUCCUUGCAUCCCAAGUUCAUCUAACCCACUCAAGAAUUGGCUAAGGAUAUGAGAAGAUAUUGAAAUAUCGAGUGCUUUUGAGCUUCGUUCCCACAUUUUUCUUCAUCAAGCCAAGUUUUCAACAUGUUUGUUACUCUUGGAUAUCUCUCUAAGGUUUGCGCGUGAGAACCCAAGCUUAUGGAGUGCCAUCAGACUUUUGUAGUUGAAUCUUGAGAUGUGGUAGGUGGACCGAUCUGUGCGGAUCCAAGAUUCCCGUUGCCGCAAGUGUAACAAGAAGGAGGGGGGAGAUGAGGCGCAUCGGGUUUCGGCUUGGUUUUCUUUGACCUCAUUUGAAAUAGUAUCUUUUUUGAAGGCAAAAACUGUGGGGGAAAUCCCCACAACACUUCAUUUUAAAAAUUUUGUAAAAAAGAGCACAAACAUACAACAAGAAUUUAACUAAAUGCAUCUAGCCAAAAACAAAAGGCUGAUCUAAGAUCAUCCUUGAACCGAAGGGAUUGAAAGAGGCACUGGUUUUUGAAAUUUCUGAACCAAAUGUCAAUGUGGACUGGUCCAUUAUUGAACACUUUAUCAUUUCUUAGCUUCCAUAUCUCCCAGGAGGCAAUGACCACUACUUCCAUAAAGAACGGGAUGUUUUGCUGUUGUCUCGCGUGUGCCAGCCUGGGGGUACAAACUGAGGCGCGUGUUCCACUGCAUACCAAUCUUAUCCCAACAACUCUUAUAGAAAGGACAGUCAAAGAAUAGGUGCAUGUUAUCUAGAGGACUAAAGAUCGUUUUCUUAGGGUAGUAAUCGAUGGAUAGAACAAUUGAGCAACUCAUCAUGUAAGUCAAUAUGUUUCCUUGUAACUGAUUAGGAACCUGAGUGUAAACUGAAUAGGAUCUGUAACCCUACUUUUCAUACUAUAAUAUAUAAGGUAGGGAGCCCUCAAUUGAUAUCAAGACAAUCUAGGCUUUCAUAGCUAGACAAGCACAUCAACACCCGUGUAAUUCUUAAGCAUACAAGAUAAGAGAUUGAUUCUUCCAUUUUAAGUUAUAAUUAUAAGUCAUUCUCGAUUUUCUAGGAACAUAAAUGUUAUAUAUUUGAAUAUAGUCAUUAAAAAAUAAUUAAAAAAGAUGGAACGACUUACUAUUUAGAAGGGAUAAGAGGAGUACAAUACAAUGCUCUAUCGGUCAACUCAUCGGAUUGUAUUGUAUCAAACCUAUGCAGCCUUGUGAAAAAUAUAUUUAUUAUGAAAAAUAUAUUUUAUAAUAUAUUUAAUGACCAGCAUAAAUUUUUGUAUUUUUUAUAAGUUUAGUCGGACAAAAAAAUGACAUAAGGUCUCUAGGAUUUAUUUAUUUAUUAUUUUUUUAGAGAAAAAUUUAUUUAUUUAUUAGAUAGACAAUGGACCCGAUCUCGCGGCCAGAGGGCCGGCCCACUGAUCGACGCAGACGACAGGGAUAAGGUGUUACAAUCAGACGGGCCCAACCCGUCGCAUGCAUUGUGCGUCGUCGACUCGUCGUAUAUAUAUAUACGGGACGAGGAUAUUCGGCAACGUGCUACAAUGCACGUGAUAUAAUACGCGCGUCUCGAUCUGGUCGGCACGUAACGCCAGCGUACGUCUCCAUGCGUGUAUACGUACACAAGUGGCCGAACGAAAAGAGCGCGGACAAACCGGACAUCAUCGUCUCACUGUGUGGUUCCUACUAGCUAGCCUAUAUAUCUAGCACGUGUAGCUAUACCACACCACCGUAUCCGUAUGAGACGAGGCAUUUCGUCAUUCGAGUCUCCUCGUCGAUAAUUAACGUGCGUGUCGUCGUUGUCGUCCUGAUCUGCUCUCCAAUUGUGCGGAGGGAGGAGCGCGCAGCGAGCUCUGCUGCAUGCAAGUGCACACGAGACACGAGCCUUUUUUUUUUUUUUCUUUUUUGACUACACGAGACGAGACACGAGCUAGCAGGGGGCCGGGCCGCGCCGGAGAGGACAUCAGGGUCAGGCACGCGAUCGAUCGAGACAAGAGGACACGAGAGGACCAGCUGGUUAUAGCACAAGCAGCUAGCUAGCUAGGGCGUGAAACGAUAAUGAAAGGUGCGUCCGUGGACGCGCACGAUCGACUCGUCGCAGCUAGCAUGCAUAUGCGUCGACGACGACGCGGCGGCGCCCGGCCCACCCGCAUGCAUCUGACAAAUUAUACUCGACGCUGUGCAACAGCAACCCUGUCAGUAGCGGAAGGGGGAGGACAAUAAUAAUUCAGUCUGCGUACGUACGUGGGCGUGGGCGUGGGCACGGCUGGGCACGCCCAACGAUCGAUCGUCCUGCGACCGGCCGGCCAGCCACGCACGUCGAUCGGAUCGAUCGGCCGGAGUCGGUCUCUAGCUAGGAUAUCGCCGCCGAACAAGGUGACAAGCCAUGCCACGACGCAUAGUACGGUUUCUCGAUCAGUACACGCUGUUUGGACUGUUUACAUAAUUCUAGCAAUAUAUGCUCGCGUCUUAUAUAUUGAAGAAAGAAUCAAAAUUUCUUUCUUUCAUUCAUUUUUCACUCUUGGCCGUCCAUCACCUCACUUCUAUCCUUUUUCCAUGUUCGUUCAUCCCUCAUCCCUGCCUUUGGUCAUCGUCUCUCACUCUUAGGCCUUGUUUAGUUCUCAAAAAAUUUUGCAAAAUUUUUCAGAUUCUCCGUCACAUCGAAUCUUUAGACGCAUACAUGGAGUAUUAAAUAUAGACGAAAAUAAAAACUAAUUGCAUAACUUGGUCGGAAUUGACGAGACGAAUCUUUUAAGCCUAGUUAGUCCAUGAUUGGACAAUAUUUGUCAAAUACAAACGAAAGUGCUAUAGUGCCUGUUUUGCAAAAUUUUUUGGAACUAAACAAGGCCUUACUCGUCAUGCUUUGAGUUUGCAAUUGCAAAGCAUUUGUUGCCAUGCUACUCAUGCAAUAGCCAAGUCAUUUGAGCCCGUUCGCGCCAUGACAGUGAAAAGGCUUUCAAUUAUGGAACCUCCAUAUUACUUCAACCAUAAAACUAUAAGACAGUUUUUGUAACACCAAAGCAUUUUAAUCCACAUAGAACUAGCCGGUGCGCGUACACUUCUUGUGCCCUUUCCAAACAUAAUUCUAAGUUGAUUCAUCACUACUUUAAACAUCUGUUUCACAUUGUGAAGCUCAUCGAUCGUCUCAUUGCCAUCAAAGGAUUUCUUGUUUCAGCGGGACUCACAUAACUCAUCUUCUUGCACUAUAUAUGACACACAAUAUUUUCCAAAACCAUCUCAAAUGAAAAACUCUUGUUGAGCACUUGUGUCUCCAUAUGAGGCCACCUGAAAAAUUCUAAAUUUGAAUUAUAAGAUCUAAGAACUUAAAACUUAUAUUUGGAUUCUUAAAUGAUUUCAAAUAUAAAAAUCAUCAAUGACAUAGUUUUAGGUCAUGUCAACUACAUAGUUUUAGAUUUGCAAUUUUAAAGUUUGUCUUCAUUCAACCUCAUAUGAAAAAAAUAAAAGAAUAAAAGAGAGCAAAGAGACAACCAAUUUUUUCGUGCGGUAUCGGGUAGUUGCCACUACCCCCUAAUUCGCAUUGGAGCACCAAUGAGUCGCAAAGACUCGAUUACGCUCCCUUAAGUCAUGAAGUUUAAGUCUUCACUAGUCAAUACCCAUUCUACUCUCCGGAUUGCCAGGUUUCAAACUGAGCAAACCAAUAGGAGCCUUCCCACAAGGUCACUUAGUCCUUCAUUGGGACAUCUAGGUGUUCACCAAGAGUAACAAACCUUUAGUAGCACCUUAAUGAAAACCAAGCCAAGAACACUAAGUACACUCUCGCAGCUUGCAAUAUUGACUUGGAUGGCUCCCAAAUCCUUCAUAAACUCCCUCUAUACGUGUGCCGCACCUGGGGGCUAGGGUGAAAGAGCAUCACAAAAAUAAUUUAGAGAAUGCACACAUAUAAGGUGUGAAGGCCCAGUUGGAUGAUCCAUUGUGCUCUAUCCAGGUGCACUAGAUCAUAUGGUGAUCCUAUAUGGGUAAGUUUCCUAACAGUCACGAGGAAUAUGCCAAAAUAUGCCUCAUCAAAUGACCCACUGUGGGUUAGAUCGACACCAUUGGAUCAUACAAUUUGGCUACUUGACACAUAACCGAUGUUCACCAUCAUCGGAUUAACCUUGACCUUUUGUGAGAGGCGGAUCACUUGCCCACCUCGGUUAAAAUUACAGUAGUAGGAUCCACGGGCGCACCAGAUCAUAUGGUGAAACAUAGUACCUUGUCAUAAAUCUACUUCUACUCAGGUACUAUACCCCCUUAUUCCUUAUCAUCGAUUGUUUUGGCUGGCCAGCAAUUAGGAUUGCCCUAUUAAUUAAAUUACCCAUGGAAAAUUUAGAUUAACUUACUUACUAGUGUAACUAUAUAUUAUAUCAUGUAGGUACCAUACUAAGAGUCUAAUAUUUGUGUAGGUUUUCUCUCUUUUUUUAACUAGCAAACAUAUAUUUGUGUUGCAACAAGAUCUUCAACUUGUUGCGUGGCUGCUGAGACAACUUGUGGCUUCGAGAUAGCCAUAUGUUUCCAUUCAUCUAGGAAUUGAACUCCGACUUCGUACUAUGUUUGCACGUGUUGCUCUAACUGGUAUGAGUACGAGAGGUUAGAGAUUUAUUGAGAUCCAUCAUGUCACGUGUUUUAUUUCGUCUUGGGAUCAAACUCACACCACGCCCGAACACUUGACUUGUGUAUGGACAUGUGAGAGAGUGGUGGACCAUGGAAACAAUUUGUAUUUCAAUUCUUUUGGAAUUGGACUAAUACACUUCUCUUACUCGUAUUACACUACUCUUACAUGUAUAGGCACAGGAGAGCGACAUUGAUUCCAUGGAUCCCCAACGAAUGAUUAUGAACAAAGAAACAUUUCGCUCUUUAAUAUUAGGAAAUAGAAAUAGAAUAGACGAUUGGAAAGGCCACCGGGUAGCUCUCAAGGUUUAUUUCCUUAAUAUACAGGUGGAAAAAAGGUCGAAUAAACAAAGCCGCCACACUUAUUCGCUGGGCAUCACCGUGCAUUGCCCAGAUCGAGCGAGUGAGGAUCAAGGCAGAAAACAUUAUUAUUCCAUACGCACGUCACUGAACGCACGCAAAAACUGACGAAAUUAAAGACGAGCUAGGUAGAUCAUGGAUGAUGGAUCGUCGGCGGGCGGUGGCUCGAUCCGGCAACGACGAAACGCAAACUCACGAAAAUGCAGAGGGAUCGACGAUCGCAUCAGAGAUCAGUUGUCCAUGGCGAGGCCAGGCAGCACGAAAGGGUCGGCUGAAUCGUAGAAGUCGGCGGACUCGUCGCUGAGCUGCUGCUUGAGCAUCCACUUCUUGUAGGGGUGGAAGAGGACGGAAUUGGAGCAGGUGUACUUGGCCGGCGCGGGGCAGUCGAUGAACGUCCCGUUGCCGUUCGCGCAGAAGUAGAGCUGGUACAGCAUGUACUUGUCGAAGGGCCCCUUGCUGCACUGGAUCACCGGCUCCGCGUUGAUCCCGCUCUUGAACACCUUCUUGAUCGCCUUCAACCCGUAGAGCUCGAAGUCAUCCUCGAUACCUGCAGCAAAAGAUCCAUGCAUAUAUAUGGGCCAGCAUCAGCUCUCGUAACAUAGAUACAGCAAGCUACUCAGCUCUGAAUCCGUUCACUUUAUAAGCCGCAAAUAAAUCAGCGAACAAUGCUUUUAGCCAUGACUUUAUUUAAACAAGCGAACAUGCUCAGUUUACCAUUUUGUUUUAGGCGAACGAGGGGGUUGAUCUUGCUACGGAAGGAGAGGGCCUUCUCGAAGUAGGCUUUCUCGUCGAGGCCGGAGCAGGCGCCGGCCUUCUUCCAGGCGUUCUUCCAGCUUCUCUGGCCGUUGUUGGCGGGGCACUUGAUGUUGAUCCAGUACUGCUCCAGGCCGAUGCCGGUAAUCUGUCGAGAUGGACAUUGCACACAGACACACACACACAUUAAAGGUACUACGGUGUCACACCUACGACGACAACACUAGAUGUGCAUAUAUAUGGCGAUCGAGCUGGAGCGAGAGUCUACGGACGUACCAGGUUAGGGUUGUAAGGAGCUUGAUUGCUGCAUUCCGUCAGUGCAGCGUUGGUGGUCGCGUUGUAGACGGUGAGGCCCGUUAUGUAGAAGUCGCGCGCCGGCGAGACGCCGGUCGUCGGCUUGCAGCAUCCAGCGUUGGUCUGCUCGCAGUAUGCUCCUGGCCACUGCGUGCGUGCGUACGUCCAUGAUCGAGCACACCAUCCAUGCGCAAAAUAGAGUUGAUCAGGGAAUUACGUUCAGCCAUUUUAUUAACGAAAACUAAAACAAAAUAAAAAAAAAAUAAAACAAGUUCCUGCAAGAUUGUACAGUGUGUCGUUCUCUCCUCGUACAUACGUCCAUGCCUAUAUAUAUGUGUGAUGACAAGGCCAGUGCGAUAAUUUGCCUCUCACCAAUCAAAUUAUCGUCCAAAACUCAGGAAAAACGGGCCAGUGGUCCAUGAGAAAUCUGCUUAUGGGUUCCACAUGUAUCGUCGUCUCCGGAGUUGUUCAUUUCACUUGUUAUUGUAUAUAGACUCAUGCAUAUUACAUAUUACAUUUUGAUCUGCAGAUUAAUUAAUAAUGAGAACGACAUCCGUGCACAUAUCCAUAAUCCAUGCAGGGUUUAGCCUUCUAUAAUAGUUAGCAGGACACACAAAUUUUAGGAUCAUAUAUAGGUUCUUGCCUGUUUUUUUCAUGCCAUUAUAACUGAAUUAACCUGAUAUAUAGUAAGACCUAUAUAUCUCAAUUAAUGAUACUAACAGUAGCUAGUACAAAAUACACAUAGUGACUGAAGGAAAUAGCUAAGCUCCCCGUGCGUACCAGAAGAGCAAGCUGGUAGUAGAUACCGGAGGAGUCAUCAGCAAUUGCGGGAGAAGCUACUAGCAGCAAGCCAAGGAGGCACAGGAGUGGGAUCCUGGAGGAAGCCAUAUGGAAAUGGAAUGCACCCCGGCCCUCGCUAGCUCUCACGAGACGAGCGCGACUCGCGAUCUACCACGAAUGGCACCGAUGAGCAUGGCCUCCAUCGCGUGGCUACUUAUAGGCAGACGAGAGCGCGUCCGCACCACAUUUUAUCUCUAUUCUACACCUAAAAAAUAAUACAAAAGAGGCCGGCCGCGCCGGUAUCGUCGGCUCACCCUGCUCAGCUCGUCCCUGGAUUUUUUUUACUCAACUCCACGAAAUCAGAAUCAGAUAUCAAAUCAAAUCGUUCUAAAUCUGAAUAAAAAAAAAGAAAAUAUCGAACUCAAUCAAAUAAAAACUGAAAAUGUAAUACAAGUCUGGUGCUGCAGCUAAACUUGAACUCGACCUUGCAUCGCAUGCGCGAGGGCUCGUGGACCACCAGACUUGGCUUACCUUAUAAAUAAAUUAUAUUAGGCUUGCUCUAAAACCUGCUCUCGCACAUGAUCCGAUCCGGUCGCAAACCCGAGACCUGUGGGGCAAAAAAACACUCUGUAGGCCUUGUUUGGAUGUAGUCGGAUUCGUAUCAAUCCACAUGUGUUGGGGUGGAUUGGAGUGGAACUUCAGCUAAAUUCCACCCAAAUCCACACCAACACACGUGGAUUGAGGUAAAUCCGACAACAUCCAAACAAGACCGUAUGAUUGAGAGAACCCAUGCAGUACUUAGCAGUCAAUUGUGCCUUGUCGUUAUCAAUGUGAAGCAGACCUAUUUUGUGUAUGGUUGGAGGAAUGUGGAGACAGCUUUAUAUUUUCUAUAUAACUAGAUUUAUAGAUUUCUUCAUAUGUUUAUCAAGCAUAAGGUGUGUUCAUGUAGUUGUACGUAAAAAUUCGUUAUCUCCGCGCUUCACUAAUAUUUGUGGGCUCUACGUGUUGUGCUCCUCUCUCAUCCAUUGCAAUAAUAUAAGUGCAAGCAUGUGGUACAGUACAAUGGUUGAUGAAAAUAAUCAUCCAUUGCAAACAUUUAGUUUUGGAGAGAACCCCACAGCAAAUUUAACGUGGGUAUACAGUAUUCCGGCAUCUACAUGAGUUAUAUAUUGAUCACUCAACCAAUUAAUCCUAGCUUAUUAUUAUGCCUUCACCAGUGGCCUUCUCAGAACUCAGAUCGAUCUUGUGAUGCAUGAGUUGUCAGCUGAGGAAACGAUGCCUUACAUCGCAGGGCAAUCGAACCAUGCAUGCAUGCUCUUUAGUCUUUAGGCACGAACCCAAUCCAAUUAAACUAGGAUAAGGUGCAUAUAUACUCAUUAAACAACCAGUGUACAAGGAAAUGUUAUUUACCAGAGGGCUGCACGAAUUCUUUUAUCAAGAGAGAGGAUAAUUUUUAUCUGGCCUAGGCCCUGCACAAGCGUUUGAUAUAUAUGUUGAAAAAAAAGGGAGAGGCAAUAACCAAAUCCAUCCUAUUCGGUAGACUUUUUGCCAUACAUCAAAGUAUCGAACCCACACCUCUGGAGAAGGUCUUACACCUCUAGUCAACAGGUGACGAAUAAAAGCUCUUAGAAAGCUCUCAAAACACAAACCAAGCAAGCCACCAAUUAUACUAAAGCAUUCUUUUUGAAACACUAUUGUGCAUUUUGAGUGAUGGGAGGCUAUUCUUGCAUAUGUAUUGUGUCUUUUAAUUUACAUGAGAUAUCACUACUACAAAAUUGUAUUUCUCAUCGAAAUUUACAACUUUGGCAUUGGUCGUUUCAUCAUCCGAGAUUGUUUAACAUUUGAAUUUCAAAACGCGUUAUACUUUUAGGACCUUAAAUAAUUUUAAAUAAGAAAAAUUAUCAACUACAAAGUUAUUAUCAUCGAGUAUACAAUUUUGGUUUUGGUCAAUUUUCCGUUUGAGGACGUUUGAAUUUUUUCUGAAAAUUUCAUAAUGUUAAAACUCCAAAUAUAAAUUUGGGACCACAAUAAUUUCUAAUAAAAAAGUGGGUUAACUACAAAGCUGUAAAUCUCAUCACUUUUUCAUCUGAGGCCGUUUGGACAAUUCGAAAAAUCUGAAUUUUGAUAAAUGUGAACUUCAGACAAUAUUUUGGGACUAUAAAUGGUUUAAAAUUGAAAAUUCAACAAGUAGAAGUUGUAGACCUUAUCGAAACUUACAACUCUAAUAUGAAGUUCGUUUCCAUCCAACUCAAUCUGAGAAAAAUAUUAGUUUUAUUAUACUGCAACAUAUAGUCAUCACCGCUAACACAUAAGCCAAACGGCAAAAAUGAUUUCAUCAUCAGAAAGUAACCCAGAUCAACAAUGAUGAUGGACUAUCUCCAGCGGUUUGUAACACGAACCGCUAAUGAUAAUUGUCUCCAUUUUCACUAACUGUUCGUAAUACGAACCAAUGGCUAACGGUUCAUAACAACACGAACCGGCAGCCAAAACGGCUUAGAGCAAACCGACGAUAAAAUUAGCGGUGGUGACGAUAAAUUAUGCAGUGGUGGAUGAUCGACCUUAAUUUUGAUCUCCUAGAAACAAUUUCAGUCAGUGCCGAGCUGCUCGGAUUAUUGCUACUGCGUCUAAAGAUACUUCCACAGAAGCCGCCAUUCGUUUGAGCACGUUAUUCAUUGCUGUGUACAUGCAGCAAGCAGCUAGGGCAUGAGUGCGACGCCUACCUUGUGAGCCACUCGUCUCGCGUUCGAUUGGAUAGCCAUAGCCUUGCACCGUGCACGUCUACCGCAGGCACACGACCGCACUGAGUAUGACCACACCAGCACCCCACCACCCCCCUGUAGUAUAUAUAGCCACGUGUUUAGUUCACGAAAAAAAAUUGCUAUGGUAUAUAUAGCCAUGUUUAGUUUGUCAAAUAAAAUUUUUUAUAUAUCACAUUGGAUAUAUCCAAAAAUAUUUAGAAGGGAUUUUUUAUACUAAUAAAAAAAGAAUUAAUUAGAUUUAGAAGAUUCGUCUUAUAAUUUAUAAUUAAAAAAUAUAAUUAGUUUUUUUUGUCUGUCUUUAAUGUUUCAUAUAUGUGUCAAAGAUUUUAUAAGACGGGCGUAAAGUUUUUAGUUAAAAAACUAAACUGAGUCCGACGAAAAGGACGUAGGAGUACGUAUUUUGCAGUACGACGCGACGUGAGGCGUGGCACCUACCGACCGGGCCACCCAAUAGACGUGGGCGAAACGACAUGUAGCCCAACAGCCUCGAUGGAUCGUUCUGCCAGGCCCACGUGCACGUCCACGUUGUGAAUGAUGAAGGAAUCCUCCCACAAUCGUCACUCGUGAGUCGGGACUCGUCAGCUUGGACCGUGAGGCUCACGUUACUGCAGCCCUGUUAUCUCCUAGCGGAAAGGAGAAUGAGGCAGAAAAAUGAAAAAUAAAAUUCAAAUGCUUUGAUUUCUCACUAUAUAAAGUUAAUAUUUUUUCUCGAAUAAUAUAAAGUCAAUAAUCUAAUUGAGAAUAAGAUUCAAACAUUCUUCAUGUUUUUUAUCUAUAUAGUCCAUAUUCUAAAUUACUAUCUAAAAUCAUUAUUAGAAUUUGAUCCAAACAAUGUCUAAGUUUGGGCCGCUCACCCUUUUGUUCAUGUGCAACUCCGUGGCUUUGUUAAGCAUGCCGGGGAGGGCCAGAGGGGGACACACUUUCUACCUUGCGAGCAUUCAGUUUCACUUUCACACCACGUACAAUGCAAAAGGCGCUUAGAUAGAAAGAGAAAAAUACUUUUGUAACUAAGCGUUUCUUUAUAACCUUAAUCUACAACGCAACACGUAUUUGAAGGCGCUUAAGUUCCGACUGUUACGUUGCAUGCAAACACCAGUAUCGGAGCCGGUCCAGGCGUUGAUGCUUCACGGAGUGGUGAAUCUAUUUUUAAGCGCCCGCUCAGGACUCCACCGUGGCAAAAAAAGCUAUUUAACGGCCAAUACCUGAUCAUAAGCGCCCAGCGUUGUACAAGCCCUAACUCGAAUAUCUUACCUCAUACCUCCACAACUUUGAAAUCAUUUAAAUUAGGUAUCUAGGUUUGAAAUAGUUGUAAUGUGGUUUCAUAAUUUUGAAGUUAAAAAUCCGAUAAAGUCCUGAUACGAUUUUUAAACCUAAAAAAACACAAGGCUUCUAAGAAAAUUGUAAAGAUAAAUCGAAACACAAGACACUGAUACAAAAUAUGUAGAGCUUAUGAAUAUAUAUAUAUAUAUAUAUAUAUAUAUAUAUAUAUAUGACACAUUUCUUCUACUCGUGCGUGUAUGUACUCGUACCUGCGAGUACAUGCACGGGAGAGUCGUCCAACCAGUUCUGAAACAAGAAACGUCGGAUAGGAAACGGAGAGGGUGCGGCCCGCCGUUAAGCUCUCGUAACGGGUUUGGGUAGAACCCAAUUGUUUUUGUCGUUUGCAAGCACAAAGUAUUCCACAUGCACGCGUAUAUAUGGGUACUUGUUGGUAUACACGUGAAUAUUAUUUAUUAAUUAUCUGAGAUGCAUCUGGUCGGAUAACUAUAUAUUAAUUAGCGGAGACCAUAUAUAUAGACAUAUUUGGACAUGUAUAUAUAUAUAUAUGUUAGUACAUGUACAUACUUCUAAGAUGGUUGAGUAUAUAUACAUAUACUUUUCUUCGUAUAAGAGAGUAUGCGUAUAUACCAUUUUACUAUUUUGACAAAUACAUACUACUUUUUGGUACGCACGUACGGUGUGCAAGACUGCAUACUUUUUUUAAUUUAUUUAUGAUUAUAUAUAUGGUGUGUUGUUUAUUGGUAGUACGUAUGAAUAUAUACUGCUUUGAAAGUAUGAGUGGAUACAUUCUUUUUUUUAAAAAAAUGAGUAUAUCUGCAUACUGCUUUUGAAUGUAAGAAUAGAUACUUUUUAUGAUAAAAAUGAGUAUAUUUGCAUACAUGUGCUAUAAGAAAAGUAUAUGCUAGUACUAUGUGUUUUUACUUUUGUUGAUAAAUGAGUAUAUGUAUAUACCUUUUCGACAUACAUUAUUGAUGAAAUGUGUACGUGGUAAUAUUGAGUACAAACAUGCAAGGAAUGUAACUGUAUGCUACUAUUGAGUAUCUAACAAAAGGAAAAUAUAAUAUUUUACUAGAACUCGAUCUAAUCUAAAAGUAUCGAGUGACACUGCUACAAAUAAUUAUGUGGAGUAAAUCAUGCUCUGUCAUCCUGUCCGGCAUUCUCUCGAAGCAUCAAACACCUUGAAAUAUUUAUCUGUCUGAGAAGUAAUGUUACAUUUACGAAUAAGAUUUAUCUGUCUGAAAGUAAUGUUACAUUCACGAAUCUAGGUAUCAGGUGAUACUCUAAUCUAAAAACAGUAUAUUUGCCAAGUGAUCUUCUCCAGGUAGAACUAUAGCCUAGAACGGAAUAGAUAAAAUCAUAUCCAUGAGUUCUGACGCAAGGGAAAAAACAAUAUUACAAACCGGUAAUAUGCAUAUUUGUCGACGACAAGUAUGAGAAGCAAAGCCCGCCGCCACCAGAACUUUAGAAGGGACAUAAACGCCUCAAUGCGAUAACAGCUAGAUUAAUGGAAUCAACUGUGCCGGAUCUACAAGCUGCAAAGGGAUUUGAUUGGAAUAAACAAAUCGAUAAUAACAGGAUAGAUUAGGACUCUCAACCAAACCUGGAUCUGUGUUCUUCACGAUUUUCCUGGUCGCCGCCGCUAGGGGAUGUCAUAGUCGGCUUGUUGUUGGGUGGGCCUCUCGACCAUGGGGGGCCAUCACCAUUGGGCGGGCUACGCCGGCGUCGUCCGUGCUGGUUGAGAGGAUGGAGGAGGGAGACGGCUCCAGGAGCGACCUUGGCGGUGGCGAAGCAAGAAAGCAUGAGGACGGCGGUGACAAAAUCCGCUAAUUUCGGAUCUCCCGAUGGCUGAGCGGCGACGGGGCUGGAUGAUGACCGUAUAUACAUAUGUUCCUAAUGGGUAACGACGGUGUGAUCCAAUAAGCAUGGAUGUCAUCGACCCGUUAGCUCCAGACGGCGUGCAUCGCGUCGUGGACUAACAAGCCGGAGUAGAUAUACGUGUAGAAGGGAAAUUCCCUAUAUAUAUAUAUAUAUAUAUAUAUAUAUAUAUAUAUAUAUAUAUAUAUAUAUAUAUAUAUAUAUAUAUAUAUAUAUAUAUAUAUAUAUAUAUAUAUGGAGAAUCUUUCACGAAAUUAUAUUAUCAUUGGCACUUACACUACACCCCUAUGAAGUGAUGGUAUCCGUGACACUUUGUGACACACCCAUGUGGGCCAGGGAUGGACCAAACUCAAUUCUUGGGAUACAGUUGAUUACUCGUUAGGUUUUGUAGAAAUUAAGUAUAUAUAGUGUAUGUUUCGUACCAUUAUCUAAAAACAUUCUAUAAUUUGUAUAUUCGUGGGGGAAAAAAGUUUGCUAGCCUAGUAGAUUUCUUUCCUCCAUCGCCUUAGCCCAUCAAUCCAUCAUUUUUAAAAGGCCCCCAUCUGCAUACUGCAAAGCAACAUUUUUGGCUGAGUUGGUCAAAUCCUUAGAGCAUCUCCAACAGUUUUAUAAACUACUCCUACUUGCUAUAAUUUAGCAAGUUGCUAUUUUCGGCCUCCGCACGCGCAUUUAUCCGUGCGUGUAUCCCUCGCGCAUCCGCCGCACAGGGGCUGUGCAGCUGCUGCUGCCGCUGUUGUUCUGCUGCUCUGGCUGCUGCUGUUAUGCUGCUCUGCCGCUCCUGUGUUGCCAUGAUGCCAUGACCUGCAUGCGUUGAUGCAGUGCUUCGUGUGCUCGGUCUAUUGAUGUGACUCUUGACGGUGCUUCCCAUCAUGCUGGUUGCAGCACCUGUGCUUCCCAUCAUGGGUCAUGUAUCCACCAUGCAUCAUGCAUAUAUGCUUCAUCAUGCAUCAUGACCCAUCAUGAUGUGAGCAGGAGCAAUAUUUCAUCAUGCAUCAUGUACCGUACUCUGAUUCAUAAAAUAUAAAUCCAAUGGACAGACCCAUAUACAGAUGGAUCCAGUAGAAUAUGAGCCUACUUUUUAAAUUUUACCAAGUUAAAAUAGCAAACUAUUGGAGAUACUCUACUUUUUCACUUGGUAUAUGUUUUAGCAAGUUGCCAAAUCACAAGAUUUACCAAGUGGAUUUUAGCAAACUAUUGGAGACGCUCUAAGAGACUCAAGCAAAUUGUUGAAAUGGUCAUGGUCGUGAUUGUUCAUCAAUUAACUUUCAUAAUAAAACAAUAUAGUGAGCAUCAAUUACAAGAAAGCCAUAUAUGUCAUUGUGUCUAGAUUGGUUUGCAUUUUUUAAUUCUAAAACAUGAAGGGGUUUCACUUUGAAAUUCUAAAUAUCCAUUUUCGAAAUAUUGGACCCACUCCUAAUAUUGAGUAGUAUGAUAGAUGAUGACAUGGCAAACCAAAUCUCGUGACACCAAUGAUCGUGAUGACGCCAUACUAUGAAGGUAGCCACUGUGGGCAUGCAAAGGCACAUGCAUCCACAACGAGAUAUUAUAUGCGCUAAGGAUUAAGCAGUGGAUGCGUCAUGCAACUAAUGAAGCAUCUUAAGGUACAGUCUCAUAGACAGUUAGAUAUUGCUCGAAGGGCAUCCAUCUAAUGUGACAUGAGAAGUUUGUCAAGGCUUGGAUCUUGGCUUUGUAGGGGAAAUAUCAAACUAGUGAAGCGAGAAAACCAAAUAAAAGAUAUCCAUCUUGUUUUGAAAAAUAUCAAUGGAAACGUAGGAAACUAUGGUGAACUAGAAUUCUAGAUGGACAAAUAUUUGUAUCUCCACUUUGUUUUGCUCUCUCAUUAGUUCUUACUUUUGAUCCAUGUUUCCCACUCGAUCUAAUUGGUUAUAUGUAUUUCUAAGUGUAUAUGAUUUUCAACUAUUAAUUGACUCAUCAAGCUCAUCUCCAUGUUCGGUUGAGCUAGCUAAGUUUAUUCUAUUUUCUGAAACUAGUCACGACACCAUGCUUAGGGAUAGAAAGCAAUCCAAUCUUUGAUUUCCUAGCUAGGUGGGAUGGAAUUUUUUUUGUUCCAUGGGGAAGAAAACAGGGAAUGAUUCAUUCCAUAUGUGGCGAGGGGGGACGGGGGAUGGUUCUCAGUCCCUCUUCCCCAUGUCUCUAUUUACAGUCCAUUUGCUCUGGGUCCAUAUAGCCUACCAAAAUAUCCUUUGCCCUACCCUAAAGGCCCCAACGGUCCAACACCAUCCCACGCCUAAGGAUGAAAGUGGGGCGGCGUUGAGCAACCCACCCCACGUCCACAUCAAUUGCAACUGUUAUGCGGGUUGCAGCCGAAGCCCACGUCUUGCCGCUCUCUGUCCGUGGGUUAGAGUGAUAGCCAGUAAAGUGCCACAACGCAAGAACUCCUUGUCCUCCACCGUUGACUCAAAGGUCUACUCCAAUCCCACAGACAUCUUCCUGCGCCUGUGGAGCUCGGACAUCGGGGCUUCUUUUGCCACAAGAUGACCAUGGCGCCAGUGUGUCCGUGCUUUCGGUGCCUGUCGUCAAGAAGAGGAACAUGAUGAUCAAGGAAGAGCCACAGGAGUUGCUCAUUUGUCUUAGGUAUGACUCCUCAGCACCAUCCAACGAGAGACGGAGGUGGCCGAGGCGUGGGAGGAGUACCAGAUGUUCUUUUGAGUUCGCCGGUGAAGAGCUGGGACAUAUCGAUGGCCGGCACGACGGCUUAUCGCUCUUCCCGCCGCUUGAUGUGCUUGCUUGACGCAUCCAUGGACAUGGCGUUCAAAGUGAAGACGUACCAAGCACCACCGAUAUCGUCGAGUUUGCCCUCUGCGGUUAUGCUGCCUACCUCAACUUCACUGCCUCCUCCUUGCAGUCGCAGAAGCACACCGCCCCCAUCCACAUCGGCUGCCCAAGCCACACCCGCACCCUCCGCGAUGCCGUCGUACCAGGCAGACAACGUCACAGCAACAAUGUAUGUGGGUUGCGGGUUUGCCGCUGGGAAUAUGUGGGUUCGGCAGUUCAACCCACUCUAAAUGGUCUGUCAUGGCAGUCCAGCAUGUUAGCAGCGGAGCAGCCCAGUGGGUUGGCGCCAUGGCCUGCCCCAACUUGCAUCCAUACCCAUGCCACUACUGGGCUUGCUCCUCUCUUCUCUACCCCUAAUCAAGUCGCUCCAAAAAAAAAAAAGGUGAGUUGCGCCCACCGAUAUUUUGCCCUGGCUUAAAGCACGGCCUUUCACAGCCACUUACCAGCCCAGCCCAGCCCACCAAACCGCAGGCAAGACGGACACAAACCCGAAAGAAACACGAAGACCAAGUAGAAACAGACCCUUUUCCUUCCCCUAAGCCCGCUGAACAAGAAAAGGCCCAGAUACACACAGCAAACCAGCAAAGGCACGACCACCACCGCCGGCCGGGGGAAGCAAGCUCAAACCCUAACCGCCGGCGACGCCAGCACGAUGGCCCGCUACGACCGCGCGAUCACCGUCUUCUCCCCCGACGGCCACCUCUUCCAGGUCGAGUACGCCCUCGAGGCCGUCCGCAAGGGAAACGCCGCCGUCGGCGUCCGCGGCACGGACACCGUCGUCCUCGGCGUCGAGAAGAAGUCCACCCCCAAGCUCCAGGACUCCAGGUAGCAAACCCUCCCUUCGAUCCUCGUACCAGAUCUCGCGAUCCCCGCCUCAAACUCAUAUCUCUGGCCCGAAUUUCUGUCUCCCCAGGUCCGUGCGCAAGAUCGCGUGCCUCGACACCCACAUCGCGCUGGCGUGCGCGGGGCUGAAGGCGGACGCGCGCGUUCUCAUCAACCGCGCGCGGGUCGAGUGCCAGAGCCACCGACUCACCGUCGAGGACCCCGUCACCGUUGAGUACAUCACCCGCUACAUCGCUGGGCUGCAGCAGAAGUAUACACAGAGUGGUGGAGUCCGCCCCUUCGGCCUCUCCACUCUCAUUGUCGGCUUCGACCCCUACACCGACAAGCCGGCGCUGUACCAGACCGACCCAUCCGGUACCUUCUCUGCUUGGAAGGCCAACGCCACGGGAAGGAACUCCAACUCUAUGCGUGAGUUUCUGGAGAAGAACUACAAGGAGACCUCCGGCAAGGAGACCAUCAAGCUUGCUAUCCGUGCACUUUUAGAGGUAUAUCUUAAAUAAAUUGAGUUUUAAAUUUAAAUUUCCUGCAAUUUACACAACAUGCUAUAAAUCUAAUGAAGUCUAGGUUUUGCCGAUGUUUUGAUUUGAUUCAAAUGUUUCUAUUCUUUCUGCUUAAGGAAUUUACAAUAUAACAGUUGUAGAGCAUAAUUAGCAUGAUCAGGGAUAACCAAAUGUGUUACUUUUCUGCCUAAGCCUAGUGUAAACCAAACAAGUUUUCAUGGCAACUAUAAUCUGGGUAUCCAUCUUUGUUCACCGCCUAUCAGGUCAUGUAGUUUCCACUUUUAUUAUGGAGUAAAUUGCAGGGCCGGUCCUUAAAGUAUUAUGUGGUUUUCAUCUUGGUCCUCAAACUAUGAAAUCGCACGUCUGACUCCCUAAUGUAUUUAAGUGAUCUCAUCUAGGUCCCCAAACUACGAAAUCGCACGUCUGACUCCCUAAUGUAUUUAAGUGAUCUCAUCUAGGUCCAAAAUACACAUAAGGAGGGUUAGAAGCUGACAUAGUCAUCCAUAUGGAUAUGAUUUAAGCACAUGACUCCUGAUUUAAGCCCACGCGUGCGGCCGCCGGCUCUCCCCUGCUCACAAUCACAGCGCCCGCGGCAUACGACCUGGUCAUGUAGGCGGCAAUGGCGGCUGGUUAUGCUGCCGAGCAGGGUGAGGUAGACAUGGGAGGGGAGGGGCUUGGUCUGCGGUCAUCGGUGAUACACUCGCUCGCGUAACCAGCCGUCAUUGUAACCUACAUGACCAGGUCGUAUAUCGCGGGCGCUGUGAUGGUGAGCAAGGGCAAGCCAGUGGCUGCACGCGUGGACUUAAAUCAGGGGUCAUGUGCUAAAAUAAUAUUCAUGUGGAUGAUCAUGUCAGCUUCUAACCCUCCUAUAUGUGUAUUUUGGAUCUAGAUGAGAUCACUUAAAUACAUUAGGGAGUUAGAUGUGCGAUUUCGUAGUUUGAGGACCUAGAUGAAAUCACUUAAAUACAUCUGGGAGCUAGACGUGCGAUUUCAUAGUUUGGGGACCUGGAUGAAAACCACGCAAUACUUUAAGGACCGGCCGUGCAAUUUACUCUUUAUUAUGUUUGGUGCUGGGAAUCAUAACAAGCUCUUGGAGCAAUAGUUUAACAAAUGAUAAAUCUAUUCCUGACUUGAGUUGUUUAUUGAGCAUGAGUUGCUUGAGGUAUCUCUGGAUUUGUCAUUCUUAAGGCAUUGACUUUGCUUCAGGUAUUUUAUACAUGGCCAAUAAGAUAUUAGCUAGUAAUGCCUGGUUUUCUUUUUAAAAAAAUGUGCAGAUUAUGUUUUCAUUAGAUCAUACAAAAAAGCAAACUUAACGCAAAACUGGAAUCAUAUCCAUUACAGUACCUCCUAUCAAAAACUAGGUAAAAACAUGGAAGAACUGAGUGAUGUUGCACUAGAUUUUUCAUCUGUACUGAAGUGCAUAGGAUAUUUUGCAUCUGUGAUAAAUGUUCACGGCAACUGCGGACUUAUGGAUUUCCUCUGUAUCAGCUUGUGUUUGUCCUACUCACCAUAAUUUGCAAAUUAGAUAGCAAAUGAUGUCGGAUUAUUAUAAUUAGCAUUGGGUGUGUACUAAGGUGAUUUUAGCGCCUCCCUGAUAUGUACCUGCUGCCCCCUGGGACCAAUUCAGCUCCCCCCUGAUAUCUAUCUUGCCCCUAUCAGCACAUUCAGCUCCCUCUCUUGUCAAAGAUUUUUUUUCUCAAUACUUCCAUCUUUUGACAGUUAAAAGUAAACUUAAUUCGGACUACACCAUUCUAGAUUUUUAUUGAAAAAGUUAGGAAAUUCCCUUUGUUUAGGCAAAGGAUGGACUGUUACCCAAUUGGUCCACUCCCUGCAUGGUAAAAGAAAACCUCAUUCAGGACCUAUUCAAAAUACCAAACUAUGAUUUAUAAUUUUACACCAUUUAAAAUGGUAGGGUAAGUGGGGGGCCUGAAAUCUCCAUAAGGCUGUCAAUUGGUAGGUGUAAAAAAGUUUUCAGUAUGCUAGGACGGUGAACAUUGCUGUGCUUCCACAGCUUGUACAAAUGAAGAUUUGUAAACGUACUCCGUCAAGUGCUCUUAUGCAUAUGAAGUUGUGGGUUGAACUGUGUAAUAUUGAUAGUGUCUACACCAGGCCAUGAAAUUACGCUAGUUCAUGAUGACUGAUUAUAGUAUUCUAUGGUUAGAACAUUUUCAAAUCCCUACUCUUUAGUCUUUAGUGGGAUGGUAUUUACUCUCUGUGUCAAUUUUUUGAAUACAAGAAUUCUUUUGCAGCGAGGAACCUCUCAGGGGAGCUUGUUGAUCUUUCUUCAAAAUUUGUUAAUAUUUCUUUUGUCAUUAUGCUACGACUUGUUUCUUUAGUUCCGUGAUAUUGACAGAAUGGCAAUCCUGUUAGGUUGUUGAAAGUGGUGGGAAGAACAUCGAGGUUGCAGUGAUGACAAAGAAGGAUGGUCUCCGGGAACUCGAGGAGGCUGAGAUUGAUGAAUAUGUUGCCGAGAUUGAGGCAGAGAAGGCUGCAGCGGAGGCUGCAAAGAAGGGAGCCCCGAAGGACACCUAAUUCCUGUCUUGUGCUAUGCCUCCCUUCAACACUGUGUGCCUGGUUUUUAUGUUCCAUAGCACCAUCUUAACUGUUUUAGAAGGAUGCUAGAUCUUUAGGUGAAACUAUGCUCAGGUGCCUGUGGCACAAAUGAUGUAAUGUGCUCAUCUACAUGCCUUCUAUGGAAAUUUUCAAUUUCGUCUACUGUGUCAUCUGGACAGUAAUAGUUCAAACGUUUUCUACUUGAUGAUUCCUUGUCAUGACUCAUGCAUUCUCUUGGGCCUGGGCCGGGGCCUGUGGGCUGUGGGAUUCUAAGUUUUGCAGCCUGAGAAUGUUCGUCUAAUUUGUUGAUGAGGAAUAGGAUGGUCUGUUUUUGCGUCUUUUGCUUACUUAAAAAAAAUGAUGAGGAAUAGGGUGGUUUUUUUUCCGUCUUUUGCUUACUUCUUCAGCGGUGCUGUGAUUGAUUCCACGGUAUCACUUGGAGCCGGUUUUAUCUGGCUGAAUCUUACGCAUCUGGGCACUAUAUAUUUAUAAACAGGAUGACACCAUGGUUUCUCCUAGUCGGUCUGGCUGUGUCAUUUCGGUUGAUGAUAAUCUCAGAUGAUAACGAUGGUGCUUUCACCGUAAUGUCACGCUGCUUCACAAUAUUUUCAGUUCAAGGCGAUAAUUAAUGCUGCUGCUUUCUUCUACCUGUCGUAUUUGCCCUGAAGAGUCAAUCAACUAGUUGCGAGCUGUAGUCUCUUUGCUUCUCUCACACAGCACGAGCAAAACCUGGUGCACAGAAGAGAUCACUGGCGACUUUGCUCCCUCCGCUACACGUCAGAGCACCCUAUUCUCCUCCACUUUACAUCACAGCUGAUUGCAGAAGCCAUAACAGAAGGUGCAAAUUUGCAGUAUUCUUCAAGUUUACAUCACUGUGGAUUUCUAGAACAUGGAAAAAAGAAUAAAUUUCCAUACAUUUUUGUCUGCCUGUUAUGAAGUUAUGAUGCAUGAAGCAACCAACUCAGCUGCCGCGGGCUCCGUCAGGCAGUGGACUCUGUUUAUUUACUGAUUAUUAGCACGUCAGGUGAGGCCAGGCGUCAGGGGCUCAGGGCAGGGCAUCAUCAUAGGCUGCCAAACGUGGCCUGCUGUUUUUCAAAGAUGGAUAACACUAAACCUGACGUGCCCGAAAACAUGAGCGGCUAACUACUUCGGAGAAAGAAAACGGCAUGAUGUGAAGGUGAUGCGCUCGCAUGUUAUGCUAUGCUAUGUACACCAGGCGUGCACUCAAACACUAGCAGAGCGUCAGCCAUGUCUUGGUUUCUCUGGGCUGCUGGGCACGCACGUUUCAAGUGUCACCGGCUCAUCAUCCAGUCCCCACGGUGAAUGGAUGAAGACCUGAAACUCUUCGAUGUGUGAGUGUGAGUCAUUUUUUUUUUGGCAGGGAUGAUCUGGGGUUUUGUUAAUUGUUUCCAAGAGCGACAUGUCGUACGUCAGAUGAGAUCUCUGAAUCAGCAGAGAGACUGAAUUUCUGAUCCCCUGCUGUGGUGAAGAACCAUGGUAAAUCCUGGAUAUGCGUCUCACUGUCUCACUGAUAAUGUCUAGACGAAUUUGAAGGCUAUAUAUAUAUAUAUAUAUAUAUAUAUAUAUAUAUACAGAUCAGUAGGGGUUGACUCCUGAUUAGAUUGAAAAGAAAAAAAACAGACAGUUCACAGUUACAGCCCUGUUUGGAACUAUGAAUAUCUCCUGAUCUCUCUACAGGGACAUGAACUGAACUAUUUCUUCUGCCUUAUCAAAAAAAGAAAACCGGCCUAUUUCUUCCAAAACACCCCUGCGUUCUACACAAGCUUUUAUUAUGGAACCUUUUAUUCGUAGUGAGCGACUGGAUUAGCAUAUGUGCAGAACGGAGGAACAUACCCCUGCUUGCACUGUUGUGCCUGUUGGCGAGGUUGGGACGUAGCUAUCCGCUGGGCACUCGAUCGGGCCUUAUUACACUAUCAUAUCGACAUGACCGGCACCGGCUGAGGCCUCUUGAACGCUAAUAUGACCACCUACUCACCAUGCACGAUUUAACCCUGCUGCCACUUUUCUAGAAACGCAUGAGCGGAUACCAGCACCGAUUGGAUACCUUGGCACGCACCUUUUGGCCAGCGUGACAUCACACACACAACAACAACAACAACAACAACAACAUUCUUAGCCUGGCCAAUUAGCGGAUAAAGCAAUGUGAAAAGAGACCACUGAUCCUCAGGUCUCCACACGUUGGAGCCCAACCAACUAGAGUUGACCAGGAGGCUGCCAUGGAACAUGGAUGGAUCAUAUGGACUGGAAGCAGUGGGGAAGGAGGUGUGCCCCAUUAUAUAUAAAAAUAUAUUUCUCAUGUGAGAUCGAAUAGGCACCAAGCUUUUGUUGUUAGUAUAAUAAUCACCUCUUCGUUCAGGUUAAUCCGUGCCGAUUAGCAGGGAGCGAUUGAUGACAGUUUUAAUUUGCCAAAUCAGGAAAAGGGAGGUUUCGGAUAAGAGCGAGGACGAGGAGGGUUGGGCUUCGGUUCGGCAAGCGGCGGGGCCCGGCCCCACGCUCGGGGAUGGCCCGCGUGGGUAACCCCAACGGAGCCUGCCAACC